CUAGCCCUACCCAGUCCCCUUCCCUUCCCGCACAACCUCUCCCCACCCUGCUCGCACCCCCAACCCCACCGUACCUCGACCUAGGGCGAGACCUGGUGCGCCGCCGGUGAGCGACUCAUCAGCGGCAGGCACGACACUAGGGGCGGCCGCCGCCGCCUGCUCCACAUGCGAUGCCAGGUGCGCCGCCGCGGCCACCUGUAACAACAACUAAUCCUCCCUGCCUCCUCAGCUAACCUUCACCACGUGUCUCCACUUCUCCCCCAACAACUCCUGCCCAACAUAACGAUGGUGAUGACGACGCGGUGGUUCAAAGCCGGCCUUCUUGGCAUGAGGCGCUCCUGGUGGGCAGCCUUCGACUAACAUCUCUCUCGUGAUUGACCUACCUAGUUUAUUGCAGAGAGCUUGUCAGAGGAAGAGAUAGUGGGCUUAAGAGAGAAAUUCUUAAAUACCUUGGCACAAUUACAAAAUUAGAAAUAAGACAAGUAAGUAGUUGGUAUAUUAGUCUCUUGUCUUUGAUGCUUAACACUUUUCUCCUUUGUCAUGUCUCUGCGCACUUACCUUAUUUGCAGUUUAUGCUAUAACCAGCAGUUUGCUUUUCUAUUGCAGAGGUACAUAAGAGGCGGUGAACUGAAAAAACUAUGAAGAAUUAUAAUAUGUGCAAUAAUUGAGAUAACAAUGAAUGGAAAUGAUUGUCCAAGUGGAUGCAUAUCAUAUGAGUAACUCCAGGAAAUGACUAAAUAGCUCUACUGUCUUAUGCUUAGCAUAAAUAAACUAUAAUGCAUUAUCGCUGUAAGGAAGAUGUAUUGACAUGAUGUUGCAUGUUAUGAACGGACAUCUUCCUCUGCCCCAUUUAUUCUUUCUUAUUUACUAAAUAUUCCACUUCAUAUUGGGUACUAAUUGCAUAAGAAAUCUUAUUUUGCAUACUACAUCCAGUAAUUAAGUGUUUCUAGGUAACUUAUAUUUGGAAUUCUUUUGUUACAGGUCCACAUUUGGGACAGAAAACAUGAUAUAACGUCACAUGAAAGAUGAAACUUGUUUACUGCCUUUUCAUCCGCAGGUGGAUAAUAUGCCUUCCAAUGAAGGAUCCAAUGAUUAGUUAUGAGUCCCUCAUUGCAAACAAAUAUCUAGAAUGACAGUGAAUGUUAGAUCGAGAUAAAAUUCAGUACAAUUAGUUGACAGACACAGACAAGGGCUUCACUCCUAUGAAGAUCUUUGUGAGACUAUGCAUGUGAGUUCACUUAUCUUGGUUUGCAUAUGGAUGAACUAAUAGGUGAUGAAGUGGAUUUGUAUUUCUGGUUAUAUGCUUCUAGAGAAGGUUGUGUAUGUGAACAAGGAGAAAACUUUUGAAUCAUCUACUUGACAGGUCGCAAAGUUAUCACAGAUGCAAUAUAUUGAUGUUAUAAGUUCGAAGUCAAGCAGAGUGGUGCUAAGGACCUAAGGUACCAACUGAAUGUACGAGCAAAAACAUAAUUCAUAUGCAAGUACAGGAUGCUGGAUUCUUUAAUUGUAUGAGUACCAAAUUAAAGCAAAUGGAUUACAUAGGAGAAAACACCAUGUCUGUUUCAUUAAACACUAUCCCACAUUGUGUGUAAUACAGAAACAAUGAAUGAUGAUCUCCAGGCAGAUAAAUUCAGAUUGUUUAUCCCUCUCCA